rnacentral:rRNA from 1 species
AACGAACGCUGGCGGCAUGCCUAACACAUGCAAGUCGAACGAGAUCUUCGGGUCUAGUGGCGCACGGGUGCGUAACGCGUGGGAAUCUGCCCUUUGGUUCGGAAUAACAGUUGGAAACGACUGCUAAUACUGGAUGAUGACGAAAGUCCAAAGAUUUAUCGCCAGAGGAUGAGCCCGCGUAGGAUCAGCUAGUUGGUGUGGUAAAGGCGCACCAAGGCGACGAUCCUUAGCUGGUCUGAGAGGAUGAUCAGCCACACUGGGACUGGGACACGGCCCAGACUCCUACGGGAGGCAGCAGUGGGGAAUAUUGGACAAUGGGCGAAAGCCUGAUCCAGCAAUGCCGCGUGAGUGAUGAAGGCCUUAGGGUUGUAAAGCUCUUUUACCCGGGAUGAUAAUGACAGUACCGGGAGAAUAAGCUCCGGCUAACUCCGUGCCAGCAGCCGCGGUAA